rnacentral:miRNA from 1 species
UCCAAAACGUUUGGUUACCUCCACAUUUGUCAGAGAUAAGUUUCUCUUUUGUAUCAGUGGAAAUCUGAUUUGCUUUCUUUUCACAUAUACAAAUCUCUUACAAAUCAAAUUUCCACUGAUCCAAAGGAGAAAUUUAUCUUUGACAAAUGUGGAGGUAACCAAACGUUUUGGAU